UGUAAGCUAUUCACCUUAUUUUCCAUGGCAACAACGGUGCCGCCAUUGCGCUCGUUUUGUCAUCUUACUUCCGGCUGAGGGACCGGAUGUAACGUACCUAAGCUAGUGGCUGGCUAGAUAACAGAACGCAGAACGAACAGAAGUAUGAUAUAUGCUCAGUUAGGGGCUGCAUAACAAUUGUAUUAAAAAAUAAUUGCACCAACGAUGUAGCGAACACAUUGUGACGCGGUCGGAGUGCUGUGGUGCACUUUACAAUUUACACCCACCACCUAAAGAAGAGAAGCACCUGAGGAAAUGGAUGAAGGCGCUAAAUUUGAAGCGCCCACCCAAGCGCUCUUAUGUGUGUUCGUACCAUUUCAUGGACGGGAAGGCGACUGACGAACACUUUUACCCCGAGAAAUGGCUCGACUACGAUGUCCCGUUAAAGAGGUCACGCCGGGGAUGGAAAGGUUAUCAGAUUCGGAUGUAUCGAUGACCGCCAGUGAUGCAGUGGACAGCUGUGAGGGUGAUCAGAUCCACAUGCCCCUGAUCUUGCUGAAAGUCACCAGAAGUUACCUGCUGUGAUAGUUAUUUUUUAUGAACCUUUACAAAGUCACCAAAAGUUACCUGCUGUAAUAGUUAUUAUUAACCUUUACAGUGUCACCUGACAUUACCUGCUGUAAAUAGUUUUUAUUUAUUUAUCUUAAUUUGAUCUUUUUUUCAUCUUUAAUCUCUGAUUUGAAGGAAUAACUCAUGUCAAGUUUGCAAGUUAAUUCCAUCUUGGUUUAUUACAUAUGGAAAUUAAAUGUUGAAAUUUUAUAGGAUGGUCAGUAGAAGGUGUCUCUUGCUUCCUGAAAACAACAAACACUGAUCAAUACAUCACAAAUGAUUUUAUACAACUUAUAUUAAAUGAUCCAUGUUCUAAAAAACAAA